rnacentral:rRNA from 1 species
GACGAACGCUGGCGGCGUGCUUAACACAUGCAAGUCGAACGAAGUGGCGAACGGGUGAGUAAUACGUGGGUAACCUGCCCUCCUUUUUGGGAUAAGCCUUGGAAACGGGGUCUAAUACCGAAUCAAGGGGGAUGGGCUCGCGGCCUAUCAGCUUGUUGGUGGGGUGAUGGACUACCAAGGCGGGGACGUGUAGCCGGCAUGAGAGGGUGACGGGCCACAUGGGGAAGGAGAUACGGCCCAGACUCCUACGGGAGGCAGCAGGAGGGAAUCGGCGGAAAUGGGAACCCUGACCGAGCAAAGCCGCGUGAGGGAAGAAGGGUUUCGGAUCGUAAAGCUCUGUUGUGAAGGAAGGAGGACUUAACCAGAAAGGGACGGCUAACUACGUGCCAGCAGCCGCGGUAAUAC